UUAGAGGCAAACGGGUGGACCCGCAAUACGUCGACCCGGGGGAUUCAACCAGGCCGUGCGUUCGGGACGCGUGGGGGUUAUGCGGAGCUGUAAAGCCCGUGCCUCUGCGUAGGUCUCCGGGCGGACUGGUGCACUUUCCUCGGGUUGAUUGCCACGACCGGCUCUCCGUGCGGCCACAAGCCUUUGCUGGGAAGGUGACCGUCGGCCCCGCGCCGGCGGUGUUAUAGACCAGCUUGUUCGUUGAGCUCGUCGGAGGGCCGAGGAAGUGUUGCCGUUUCUCAGCCACCCUCCGGCCAUCCUUGCUCGUCACGACUGGGGUGAACUGCUUCGUCAGUGCUCUCCCGACCGCGAGCGUAGGAAGGGCUGGUACGGUGCGAGAAAGCUUCGGGCCAGUGGCGAAUCGGUCGGUCCUCCACCCGA
rnacentral:rRNA from 1 species